rnacentral:rRNA from 1 species
UAGUUCCUACGGGACGCAGCAGUAGGGAAUCUUCCACAAUGGGCGAAAGCCUGAUGGAGCAACGCCGCGUGGGUGAAGAAGGUCUUCGGAUCGUAAAACCCUGUUGCUAGAGAAGAAAGUGCGUGAGAGUAACUGUUCACGUUUCGACGGUAUCUAACCAGAAAGCCACGGCUAACUACGUGCCAGCAGCCGCGGUAAUACGUAGGUGGCAAGCGUUAUCCGGAUUUAUUGUGCGUAAAGGGAACGCAGGCGGUCUUUUAAGUCUUAUUUGAAAUCCUU